rnacentral:misc_RNA from 1 species
GUGAGUCAUCGAAUCUUUGAACGCACAUUGCGCCUUCUGGUAUUCCGGUAGGCAUGUCUGUCUGAGCGUCAGCAAAACAUCCUCAGCCUGAGUAUUAUUUUUUUUGUACUUAAUGCUGGUCUUGGGUAGUUGGAUGUAGGUGUAGUUAAUUCUUCCCCACCUGCGCCCUCCCUAAACUUGCUGUACGACCGCAAGCCCCUUCUAGCCCAGGUCAAUGGAGUGGUAUUACAAUCUUUCCAAAAAGCCUGCUGGUAAACUGCUUUGCGGUGUUAAACGAUAGAGUCCUCCCUCCGUGGGAGG